CCUACGGGUGGCAGCAGUGAGGAAUAUUGGUCAAUGGACGAGAGUCUGAACCAGCCAAGUAGCGUGAAGGAUGACUGCCCUAUGGGUUGUAAACUUCUUUUAUAUGGGAAUAAAAUGUUCCACGUGUGGGAUUUUGUAUGUACCAUAUGAAUAAGGAUCGGCUAACUCCGUGCCAGCAGCCGCGGUAAUACGGAGGAUCCGAGCGUUAUCCGGAUUUAUUGGGUUUAAAGGGAGCGUAGGUGGAUUGUUAAGUCAGUUGUGAAAGUUUGUGGCUCAACCGUAAAAUUGCAGUUGAAACUGGCAGUCUUGAGUACAGUAGAGGUGGGCGGAAUUCGUGGUGUAGCGGUGAAAUGCUUAGAUAUCACGAAGAACUCCGAUUGCGAAGGCAGUUCACUGGACUACAACUGACACUGAGGCUCGAAAGUGUGGGUAUCAAACAGGAUUAGAUACCCGAGUAGUC
rnacentral:rRNA from 1 species